rnacentral:rRNA from 1 species
GACGAACCGUCCAAACGUUAUUCGGAAUCACUGGGCUUACAGAGUUCGUAGGCGGUCUGGAAAGUUGGGUGUGAAAUCCCUCGGCCUAACCGAGGAACUGCGCUCAAAACUACCAGACUCGAGGGAGAUAGAGGAAAGCGGAACUGAUGGUGGAGCGGUGAAAUGCGUUGAUAUCAUCAGGAACACCGGUGGCGAAGGCGGCUUUCUGGGUCUUACCUGACGCUGAGGAACGAAAGCGUGGGGAGCAAACAGG